rnacentral:lncRNA from 1 species
UAGGGGCAGAGGCUGUCGCAUGAUGUAGUGGCUUAGAUCACAGGAAGCGUCUAGGGGCAUCGAGGAUCCUGACUCAACAGGUCAGUGAGAGAGUCUCCUUGAGAGAUUUUACGAGAGCUUUUAUGAGGGUGAGUGCUUCUUGUUGAGAGAAGUUGGUAUAUGAGAGUUGAAAGUGUGUGGUCUCCUCUUGUACUUAUUUUCUUUCUCAUAGUAAAGCUUGCGUGCUCCGUGGAGAUAGACCUUGGUCUAAUCUAUGUAUUUAAUUAUCCUCUUUCUUUUAUUUCUUCUUUCUUUCUGCUGCAAUAAUUGGUACC